rnacentral:rRNA from 1 species
GACGAACGCUGGCGGCGUGCUUAACACAUGCAAGUCGAACGGAAAGGCCCUGCUUGCCGGGUACUCGAGUGGCGAACGGGUGAGUAACACGUGGGUGAUCUGCCCUGCACUUCGGGAUAAGCCUGGGAAACUGGGUCUAAUACCGGAUAGGAGCCAUUUUUAGUGUGAUGGUUGGAAAGUUUUUUCGGUGUAGGAUGAGCUCGCGGCCUAUCAGCUUGUUGGUGGGGUAAUGGCCUACCAAGGCGGCGACGGGUAGCCGGCCUGAGAGGGUGGACGGCCACAUUGGGACUGGGGUACGGCCCAGACUCCUACGGGAGGCAGCAGUGGGGAAUUUUGCACAAUGGGCGCAAGCCUGAUGCAGCGACGCCGCGUGGGGGAUGGCGGCCUUCGGGUUGUAAACUCCUUUCGCUAGGGACGGAGCUUUUUGUGACGGUACCUAGAUAAGAAGCACCGGCUAACUACGUG